GACAGAGGGUGCAAACGUUGCUCGGAAUUACUGGGCGUAAAGCGCGUGUAGGCGGACCACCAAGUCGGGCGUGAAAGCCCUGAGCUCAACUCAGGAACUGCAUCCGAAACUGGCGGUCUGGAGUAGUGGAGAGGAAAGCAGAAUUCCUGGUGUAGAGGUGAAAUUCGUAGAUAUCAGGAGGAACACCGGUGGCGAAGGCGGCAUCCUGGACCGGCAUUGACGCUGAGGCGCGAAAGCCAGGGGAGCAAACGGG
rnacentral:rRNA from 1 species